rnacentral:rRNA from 1 species
AUUGAACGCUGGCGGCAGGCCUAACACAUGCAAGUCGAGCGAGCGGCGGACGGGUGAGUAAUGUAUGGGGACUGCCCGAUAGAGGGGGAUAACUACUGGAAACGGUGGCUAAUACCGCAUACUAUCGGAUAACCCAUAUGGGAUUAGCUAGUAGGUGGGGUAAAGGCUCACCUAGGCGACGAUCUCUAGCUGGUCUGAGAGGAUGAGCGGCAACACUGGAACGGAAAAACGGCCCAGACUCCCGGGGAGGCAGCGUGGGGGAAUAUUGGACAAGGGGGGCAAGCCUGAUGCAGCCAGGCGGCGGGUAGAAAGAAGGCCUUAGGGUUGUAAAGUACUUUCAGCGGGGAGGCGUUACCCGCAGAAGAAGCAACGGCUAACUCCGUGCCAGCAGCCGCGGUAAUUC